rnacentral:rRNA from 1 species
CCCUUAGAUGUUCUGGGCCGCACGCGCGCUACACUGAUGCAUUCAACGAGCACCCGCUGGGCCGAGAGGUCCGGCUAAUCUUUGAACGUGCAUCGUGCUGGGGAUAGAUGAUUGCAAUUAUUCAUCUUCAACGAGGAAUUCCUAGUAAACGCAAGUCAUCAGCUUGCAUUGAUUACGUCCCUGCCCUUUGUACACACCGCCCAUCGCACCUACCGAUUGAAUGGUCCGGUGAAAUUCUCGGACGCGGACUAGCGAUGUUAAUUCGGAGCUUGACUGUGAAAGUUAAUUAAACCUUACCAUUUAGAGGAAGGUGAAGUCGUAACA